AGCGAACGCUGGCGGCAGGCCUAACACAUGCAAGUCGAACGAACUCUUCGGAGUUAGUGGCGGACGGGUGAGUAACACGUGGGAACGUGCCUUUAGGUUCGGAAUAACUCAGGGAAACUUGUGCUAAUACCGAAUGUGCCCUUCGGGGGAAAGAUUUAUCGCCUUUAGAGCGGCCCGCGUCUGAUUAGCUAGUUGGUGAGGUAAAGGCUCACCAAGGCGACGAUCAGUAGCUGGUCUGGGAGGAUGAUCAGCCACAUUGGGACUGGGACACGGCCCAAACUCCUACGGGAGGCAGCAGUGGGGAAUCUUGCGCAAUGGGCGAAAGCCUGACGCAGCCAUGCCGCGUGAAUGAUGAAGUUCUUAGGAUUGUAAAAUUCUUUCACCGGGGACGAUAAUGACGGUACCCGGAGAAGAAGCCCCGGCUAACUUCGUG
rnacentral:rRNA from 1 species